UCAACAACGUUCAUUUUACGUUGAAGCGCGACGCAAGGAGGAUGUUGGAAAUUCUACUCCCUAAAAUUCAAAGACUCAGCUGUUUUUAAAACGUCGAGUAAACGUUUGGAUACCCAUUUCGACGUAUACCCAACGUUUGGAAUUCAAGCGUUUUCAAUAAGUGCUUUGUUAACAAAACCGAUGUGUUCAAACCGGCUUUGCUCAAGAAGAAGAAACAAGAUGAACACCGAGGGACUACCCGCUCAAGCUUUGAAGAGAAAAAAGACACGGAGACUGAAGAAAAGGAAACCACAGGAUGAUAAAAGAUAUGUUGCAAUGGAAGUUCCAAACAAGAGGACCAAAGGACAGACGGCAGCUCCCGAAAAUACUACACAGUUCCUGAUGGACGAUCGCGAGAAAUUUGAACCAUUCAACUUGGACGCUGCGUGUUCGCCAUCUUUUUCCCCAGUAAGUUCAUGUAGUUGUUCGACAUCUUCCGUUCGAGGCAGUCCUGCCAAUGAUGAAGACUUUGAAUCUUUAUCCGAAUUUGUUGAGGAUUUCGAUCAGCUGUAUUUCGAAAAGGAUUUCAACGACUUUUACGACAGUGUUUAUGCCGAAACUCUACUUUCGCUCACCAAACAAGAACUCAUCACGCGGUAUCUAGACUUGGAAAAGAAAGAAGAAGAGUUACUUCAACAAGUUAAAACAAUGAGUCCUGAAUCGUCGAAUGUUUCGCCUAUUUGUAACUACGAGUGUUUAAAAUCGAACUUCUCACACCAAUUUACAAGAAAUUCUCUUACGACAGAAAGCGCCAAAAACAAGGAGGCAGAGAAGAAGACUUUGAAAUCUCAAGUUCAAGAACUUCGUCUUCUUAACUCUCAGCUUCAGCAAGAAAACCAAAGAUUACGAGGCUGCUAGGUCCAGCGAUGAAGUUAAGUUGCUGAUAUGCAAUCUUGUGGCCCAGAAAACAUGUGAUCACCAGGUGACAAGGUGUCGCUCCCAGUCUCAAGAUCUGAGACCAAACAACACACAAGUUGUUGGCUUGUAGUGAGGACAUGGAACAUCACUAUGCCACAAGCAACCAAAUGAUGGUCAAACAAUAAGGUAUAUCUUCCUCAUUUGCCUUCCUUACCAGAAUCCAGCAAAUGAAAGUAACACAGAGGAGGUAUUUCAGACAUGGGACUUACAGUGCUUUGAAACUUAAAUAGUUUAUUGAGUGGUGAAUGGCAGUCAUGUUGUGUGGGUAAAACAAAUCCUUGUUUGUGGAAUAAAAACUAUUUUAUUUCACACUAUUGUUUCUGUCCCCACAACAUGGUUGCUAUGACAUGCUUCUAUUGAUACAGAACACAUCCACCCACUUAUACACGCACAGUUGUACAAAGAGAGUCGUAGUAAUGUUAUUAUUAUUGUGAUCUUGUGUGGGGUGACAUGGGUUUGGGGUUACUAACCAUGUAUUUUCAGGUUAAGAUACCAAAAGGAUCCGGAUCAAGACUUAGGACACCCCCAAGUAAUGGUUUUCAUUAUUUGAAUAUUUUUCUCAAUAAAAUUUAGUUCACACCAA